rnacentral:rRNA from 1 species
GAUGAACGCUGGCGGCGUGCCUAAUACAUGCAAGUCGAGCGAACAGAUAAGGAGCUUGCUCCUUUGACGUUAGCGGCGGACGGGUGAGUAACACGUGGGUAACCUACCUAUAAGACUGGAAUAACUCCGGGAAACCGGGGCUAAUGCAGGAUAACAUGUUGAACCGCAUGGUUCUACAGUGAAAGGCGGCCUUGCUGUCACUUAUAGAUGGACCCGCGCCGUAUUAGCUAGUUGGUGAGGUAACGGCUCACCAAGGCAACGAUACGUAGCCGACCUGAGAGGGUGAUCGGCCACACUGGAACUGAGACACGGUCCAGACUCCUACGGGAGGCAGCAGUAGGGAAUCUUCCGCAAUGGGCGAAAGCCUGACGGAGCAACGCCGCGUGAGUGAUGAAGGUCUUCGGAUCGUAAAACUCUGUUAUUAGGGAAGAACAAAUGCGUAAGUAACUGUGCGCGUCUUGACGGUACCUAAUCAGAAAGCCACGGCUAACUACGUG